ensembl:snoRNA U3 Small nucleolar RNA U3
AAGACUAUACUUUCAGGGAUCAUUUCUAUAGUUCUUAACUAGGAAAUGUGUUUCUUAAGUGAUGAGUCUCCCAAACCACGAUGAUGAUUCUUGAUACUCUUUUCAGAGUAUGAAUCAGAUGUAGAGAGAUGAUUUGAUUCAUAUGCUCUGUAUCAUUGAUGAAUGUUCUUUGUUGCAUCUUACAACAUAGGAGGAAAAGAGUACAAAUUGAGUGGU